CCCACUAGCCCAUUGGACCAGGAGUCUCCCGUACAUGCGGCCUGAUUUGACCCAAUCCCGUGCGGCGGCGGCCGCCGGCGGCACGGGAGCGGCGCCGCGCGGCGGGAGGAGAGCGAGUGGCUGCGGCCAUGGCCAUGGCCGGCGAGCCCGCGUCGGGUGGCGUCAACGCGGGUGCUGCCACGCGAGGGAGCAGACGGCAUCGACAGGAAGUUUGCCAGCCUAGGGGGAAUCGCUCUCGGCUGAAGCAUUUGGAGAAGUAGCGGCGGACGCCACGGCAGCCGGCUGAGGGGGGAAGACGGCGGCCCUCACGGGGUUACAAGUCGUGGCGCCAAGCUCCCGGUGGCCGGUGCCACGGUGCCACCUCGUCGCGAGCCACUUGAAGCCAAGGAACAUCAAUAUCAUAAGUACAAUUACAGGAGGAAAACAUGAUAUGAGUCGGUGUUGAGUAUUGGCUCCUGCUGUACCUUUUGAUAUCCAUUUCCAGACAAGGGAUAAAAGGUGGGCAUACCUGGAGAGUCGGCCAACCGGAGGUACAAGUUGUCACCAAGAUUGUUCCUCGCCAUGUCAACAAGCUCACCAACCCAAAG